ACGGUUAUAAAUCAACAUAUUGAUUUAUAAGCAUGGAAAUCCCCUGAGUGAAACAACGAAUUGCUGUGUGUAGUCUUUGCCCAUCUCCAACGAUGGGCUUUUUUUUAA
rnacentral:other from 1 species